AACCACCAGGUCAGAGUCAAUUGUGCGCCCUCCUCUGGUCGCCAUCCAAACCUGCCUGUCCUUUUCUCUCACUAGUAAGUACUACGAGAAGGAAGCCCUCCUGAUGGACCCGGUGGACGGCCCCAUCCUUGCGUCUUUGUUGGUGGGGCCCUGUGCCUGGAGUACACCAAGAUGAAGACCGCGGAUCACUUCGGACGGACCCCUCAGCAGACGAGCUCGUGCAGAGACAACGCAUCCACAGCUCGCACCUGCGGCAGGACUCACCUACCUAGCGUCCGGCCCUCUGUAUCCAGAAGAGGCAUUCGAGUGGCAGCAUGGAUGACCGACCAUCCCUUUCUGCCCGUGACUACGUAGAGUCCCUGCAUCAGAACUCCCGGGCCACGCUGCUCUACGGCAAGAACAACGUCCUGGUUCAGCCGGUGAGAGAUAUCUUGGGUCCAGAUCUUCCACAGGGAUGUCUGUUUUCAGGGUAUAGAGGAGGACUUCCCUCUGGCUCCAGGUUGCACACUUAUUCAUCCAACGCCUACCUGUAUAGCUGUCUCUUCAUUCAUCUGCCCGUACUCCAUCCAUUCAUCCAUUUGACAACAUUUCCUUCUAUUCAUCCAUCCAACUAUUCAUCCAUCCAUCCUCUUUAUAUCCAUCCAUUCAAUCAUUCAUCCGUCUAUCCAUCCAUCUACCCAUCUUUACAUCCAUCCAUCAACCCAUCUUCACCUCUGUCUGUCCUUCCAUCUAUCUUUAUAUCCAUCCAUUCAUCUAUCCAUCCAUCCAACUAUUCCAUCCAUCCAUCUUUACAUCUACCCAUUUAGUCAUUCAUCCAUGCAUUCAUCCAUCUACCUACCCACAUAUCUGUUUCUUCAUUCAUCUGCCAGUACUCCAUCUUUCCAUCCAUUCGUCCAUAUGACAGCAUUUCCUUCUAUCUAUCCAUCCAUCCUCUUUAUAUCCAUCCAUUCAAUCAUUC